GUCUCAUUCCUCAAGGUGCGUUAGCUGAGUUCUUUGAUGCCAUUCUCAAUGCUAAGCACCUUAACCUUUUCAACUUGUAUAGAGAAAUGGUUUCACGAGGAGGCUUUCAUGUUGGGAAUGGCAUCAAUUGGAAAGGACAAGUUUUCUCAAAGAUGCGUAAUCACACAUUGACCAAUAGAAUGACUGGUGUGGGGAAUACACUAAAAAGGCAUUACGAAACUUAUCUUCUAGAAUAUGAACUGGCUCAUGAUGAUGUGGAUGGAGAAUGCUGCUUGCUGUGUCACAGGUCUCUCUC